rnacentral:lncRNA from 1 species
CCUGGAAGGGCCUAUGGGCCAUAACAACCAGUUGGCCAAUCCACACAGGGCAAGCCCUCCAAACCUGGAGGCACACCAAUCCUGAGCCUGUGUGUACCCCUAGACACUCCCUUUACGCUGCCCUACAAGAUCUCUAUGCAGCUCCUUCAAGCUGUCUUUGCUAGCCAUCCACCAUGGUGGGUGGGUGAAAGACCCAAGCUAACAUGGGGUUAGCUCGUUAAACAACAAUAAAGCCUCAUGCUGUUUGCAGCAAGCUUUUGAAUCUGCCUGGUGAUUGGGGUGACUGAGGUCCUGGGCUGAGACCCCGGAGGCCAGAGUUUUCUGGGGGUCUAACAUUUGGGGGCUCGUCCUGGAUUUGCGACCACCCCUCACCUGAGUGGAUUCGAUCUUGGAGAUGUGCCCGGAGGAUCACAGACUGCUGCCCUGAGGACACCCAGGAGGAGGAAUGGACUUCAAGCAACACUCAAGCAAGAAAGGACCCUAGUGUUUAUUGGUUUGUUUAUUUGUUGGUUGCAUUUGUUUGUUUUUGAAACAGGGUCUCACUACGUAUCUCUGGCUAUCCUGAAACUCAUUAUGUAGAUCAGGUUGGCCUCAGAUUCACAGAGACCCUCCUACCUCUGCCUCCUGAAUGCUGGGAUUAAAAGGCAUGUGCCACUACACCCAGCAGAACAGACCCUCAUAAGUGCCACCUCUGACCCAAGCUCUGGACAAUGUGUCCAGGAAGAUAUACAAUGGCCACAGGACGUGAGGUUGUAAAUGUUCUCCAAGUUUUUUUUUUAAUCUGCUUUCUAAGAAGGGAAGUUUCAGAUCUUCUUUUGAGAAGUUCCUUUCUUACAACUUUAGAAAGCAGACUAAUACAGUAUAAAUACCUCAAGGGACAUCGGCAAUCAGAAAAUCUAUCCAUUACCAGAGGCUAAAUAACAGCAUUUGACACUUGAGCAACCUCCUAAACAGCUCCCAGAAAGAGACUUAGAAAUACAUUAGGACACAAGACGAGGGGCUGGAUUACUGCUUUUUGCAGAGGAUUUGGGUUUGAUUCCUAGUACCACAUUGGAUGGCUCACUGUGGUGAUUUGACAGAAAAUGGCCCCCAAAGGGAGUGGCCCUAUUACAAGGUGUGGCCUUGUUAGAGGAAGUGUGUCAGUAAGGGGUCAGGCUUUGAGGUCUCAUAUAGGCUCAAGAUAACACACUACUUAGUGUCUCAGAUCACUUCCUGUUCCUUGCAGGAACAAGAACCU